UGGGGAAUAUUGCGGCAAUGGAGGAAACUCUGACGCAGUGACGCCGCGUAUAGGAAGAAGGUUUUCGGAUUGUAAACUAUUGUCGUUAGGGAAGAUAAAGACAGUACCUAAGGAGGAAGCUCCGGCUAACUACGUGCCAGCAGCCGCGGUAAUACGUAGGGAGCAAGCGUUAUCCGGAUUUAUUGGGUGUAAAGGGUGCGUAGACGGGAAAUUAAGUUAGUUGUGAAAUCCCUCGGCUCAACUGAGGAACUGCAACUAAAACUGAUUUUCUUGAGUGUUGGAGAGGAAAGUGGAAUUCCUAGUGUAGCGGUGAAAUGCGUAGAUAUUAGGAGGAACACCAGUGGCGAAGGCGACUUUCUAGACAAUAACUGACGUUGAGGCACGAAAGUGUGGGGAGCAA
rnacentral:rRNA from 1 species